CUGGUCAAGAUUCAUGAAAAGUUCCCAUGUCCUUGACUUCAGCCUUAACCUCAAGCUCUUCUUGAAUCUCGAGGGUGUCAUAGUCACCUUUUGGAUUCUCCAUUUGGGUUUCCUCUUUCCACUAGGUCCUGACAUUGCAAGGCUCGCAUAGCUCAGGUCAAGUCCCCAAUCAUUCUCUGUAACUCAGCCAACUUCGCUUGCUGGGGCCAAUUGCCUCUCUACCUCAACCACUCCAUCUGCC
rnacentral:misc_RNA from 1 species